UCCCCUAGUAAUGGCGAAUGAAGCGGGAACAGCUCAAAUUUGAAAUCUCCGUCGCCUGCGACGGCGAAUUGUAGUUUCGAGAAGCACUUUCUAGGCGGACCCGGGGCCGUCCAAGUUGCUUGGAACAGCACGUCAUAGAGGGUGACAACCCCGUCUGUGGCGGAACCGGCCGCUGACGA
rnacentral:rRNA from 1 species